rnacentral:rRNA from 1 species
CGGAGAUGGGCACUGAGACAAGGGCCCAGGCCCUACGGGGCGCAGCAGUCGCGCAAACUUUGCAAUACACGAAAGUGUGACAGGGCUAUCCCGAGUGCCGUCCGCUGAGGAUGGCUUUUACCCAGUCUAGAAAGCUGGGGGAAUAAGGAGAGGGCAAGUCUGGUGUCAGCCGCCGCGGUAAUACCAGCUCUCCGAGUGGUGUGGAUGUUUAUUGGGCCUAAAGCAUCCGUAGCUGGCCAGGUUAGUCCCCUGUUAAACCCACCGAAUUAAUCGUUGGAUUGCGGGGGAUACUGCCAGGCUAGGGGACGAGAGAGGCAGACGGUAUUUUCGGGGUAGGGGUGAAAUCCUAUAAUCCCGGGAAGACCACCAGUGGCGAAGGCUGUCUGCUAGAACGCGCCCGACGGUGAGGGAUGAAAGCUGGGGGAGCGAACCGGAUUAGAUACCCGGGUAGUCCCAGCUGUAAACGAUGCAGGCUAGGUGUUUGGGCGGCCACGUGCCGCUCUAGUGCCGCAGGGAAGCUGUUAAGCCUGCCGCCUGGGGAGUACGGUCGCAAGAUUGAAACUUAAAGGAAUUGGCGGGGGAGCACCACAAGGGGUGAAGCUUGCGGUUUAAUUGGAUUCA